GAUGGCCUUAAGGGAAGUCUUUUCGGCCCCGCCCCGGUUCGGGGCCGGGGCCGAAAAGGGUGGUGGUUGGGUGCGGUACUCGGAGGCUAUUUCC
rnacentral:tRNA from 1 species